GCUGCCCCCUUUCUUCUUUCCUAAUACAUGCAAGUCGAGCGAACGGACGAGAAGCUUGCUUCUCUGAUGUUAGCGGCGGACGGGUGAGUAACACGUGGAUAACCUACCUAUAAGACUGGGAUAACUUCGGGAAACCGUAGCUAAUACCGGAUAAUAUCUUUAACCGCAUGGUUCAAAAGUGAAAGACGGUCUUGCUUUCACUUAUAGAUGGAUCCGCGCGGCAUUAGCUAGUUGGUAAGGUAACGGCUUACCAAGGCAACGAUACAUAGCCGACCAUAGAGGGUGAUCGGCCACAUGGGAACGGAGACACGGCCCAAACUCCUACGGGAGGCAGCAGUAGCGAAGCUUCGGCAAUGGACGAAAGGCUAACAGAGCAACGCCGCGGGAGUGAAGAAGGUUGUCGGAUCGUAAAACGCUGUUGGUAGAGAAGAACGUUGGUGAGAGUGGAAAGCUCAUCAAGUGACGGGAACGACCCAGAAAGGAACGGCUAACUACGUG
rnacentral:rRNA from 1 species